ACGCCCCUUAAAAGGAUUCACAAUGCCGAAGUCUCCUUGCGCCGAGAGAGAGAGGCCCUGAAGAAGCAGGCUGCACCUGUGGCACGGGGAGUGCAGAGACAGAAGAGAAACAUAGGCUUAAGAGGAGGUCACCCCUAAGAAUCGCGGGCCACCCGAGCCUGUGUGUCCUGGGUGCGGGGCGCCAGCACACAACACUGUAAUGGGACGGGCGGAAGGAUUUCAGGGAGAGGGUUGCGGCGUGGCAGCGGCGGCGGCGCGCGUUCGGUGAUUGCACCGCGCGCUGCUGAGGUGAUCUCGGCUUAUGUGGCGUCAGCAGGGCGGGUGGCUGGGGCGCCGCCCCCUGCCUGGGCGCUGAAAGGCGCCGCACCUGAACCCGUUCGAGGGCCGCGUCCUGGGCGGUCGGAGAGUUCCAAAUAUCCGCGAUAAAGGGAGAUUGUGAAAGACGCCUUCUACACCCUGAAGAGCUGAAAGACACAGUGCAGCUUGGACAAAUUACUUCCUAGACUGUGAAAAAAGCGACGUGCGACUGGAUGCACACGUGCUCAAGAUGGUAAAAACAGGAAUUUCUCAAUUACACAGGAGUGAAAGAACAUACCCACUUUACCAGAUGAUGAUAUUCUGACUCACUGAUGGAGUCUCGAUUUCUUUUGUAUUCUAAGACAAUGGAGGUGGAAAUGGAAACACCAACCAGGGGCUUUGAGGAUCUGUACGAUUUCCGCAUGUCCUCCUCCAGCAGCAAAAUGAAGAGGAGAGCUAAGCUGUCCAUUUAAAAGGCACUUCGAUGGAGAGGAAAAUCAUCUACCCACUGUCGUUCCCUAAUCAUGAAAAACAAACAAGAACAACACUGUUGAAAUUCAAAUUGUUCUGAAACAAAUAUGACACAUCUAUGAAAGCUACACAUCACCGAACAGCUGUAAACUGAAUCAUUUACGCAGUGAUUACAUUGCAUACUACUGCAUAUAUCAUUUACAAUAAUUGUUUAAUAUUAGCAUAUAGGCUUUUAAAGGCACAGUGAAGUGAAACCAGAGUCGUACUUGUCUUCGCUGACACUGCUCCUGCUCCUCUGCCAUUGCUCCUGUUUGGGAAUUUGGAUUUUCGAGUAGUCCGGAGCUCCUAGACCAAAGAGAGAAGCUCCCCAUGCACAGCAAGGAAAUCCGCCCCACUAAGGACUGGCAGAGCAGCCGAACAGCAGAACAUCCUGCAAGGUGAAGAGGCAUGCACGUCUUCAGUUGGGACGUAGAUGGUGAGAAUUUCACUAAAGUCUGAGCUGGCCAAGAAGGGUAGUAUAUAUGAAUUACAGAGUUUUAAAGUUUAGUAACCCUUCAUUUAAUAUUCAACCUCCAUCCUCAAUUUCAGGCUUUAUUAAAAUCUGAUUGGGCUAUAAAUUAUUGUUCUGAAUUUUACCCAUCACUCUUAGUCUGUUGUUCCUGAUUUGCAGCAAAGGGGCAAUAAAUAAAAAGUUUUUCACUCUGAAACCUUUCAUUUUCUGGCUAUCUUUGUCAUGAUUUUUAUCAACCCUUCCAACUUCCCCACUCCCAGAAACAGAACCUUGUUCUCGACCCAGGUAGGAAUGCCUGGCUGGAUGCCAUCUGUGGACAAGUAUAUACUACAAGUGUUCAAACAGCUUCAUUCAUUCACAAAAUGCUAGAGUGAAUAUUUGUGAUUAUUAUGGCCGAUUAUUAUUGG